GACGUAGGGCGCGAGCGUUGUCCGGAUUUAUUGGGCGUAAAGAGCUCGUAGGCGGCUUGUCGCGUCGAAUGUGAAAACCCCGAGGCUCAACUUCGGGCUUGCAUUCGAUACGGGCAGGCUAGAGUUCGGUAGGGGAGACUGGAAUUCCUGGUGUAGCGGUGAAAUGCGCAGAUAUCAGGAGGAACACCGGUGGCGAAGGCGGGGUCUCUGGGGC
rnacentral:rRNA from 1 species